AGACAAUUAGCAAAGCUCUGCUCCAUAUCAGCAGUCAUAGGCAGUCUGGCAGUGUGGCGCAGGAGAUGUUUUUUUUAACCAUUGGACAAAGACCAUCUAAGACCUAAGAAUUAAAUGUGUGUGUUGAAGGGGGGGGGGGGGGGGAGGGGGGUAUUUAAGCUUAUUGACUAAUUACUAACAGCAACCAGGACAUUCAAAACGAUUUUCUAUUAUGAUGAUAUCAUGAUGUACAUUUUUUAAAGUUAAUAAACAGUCGUUGGUAAUUUAGUCGAUUCAUGACGUUUUCAUCACCCGGAAGGUUCAUUAAAUCCUACACACCGAUUUCGCUGACGUAACUUGAGUGCCACUUCAACCCUCCUAUCAGAGCCAAGUAUCACCAACACACUGCUCCUGCACCGUGCUGCCCACUAACACACUGGCCCCUUUCCGGUUCUUCUGACUGUAUAACAACGGCUCCUGUGGAUGUAAAAGAAGAUGUAUGCAUGUGAUGGACAUUGACUUCGACCUCUUGGUUAUUAAGCUGCCUUGGUUGGAGCUGCUAGCCAGUGCUAACUUAGCAGUGGCUAACGCGAAUGAAGCGUUCCCAUCGCAGCUAAUGGUAGCAGCAGCUAGCUAGCGUCUCUGGAGCAACACAACGUCAGACGGGAGCUAACGGGGAAGGUGGUGGCCAGAAGCUGCUCCUUGGCUACCAGAUCCUCCAAGCCUGACAGUGAUGCUCAUGGAUCGCUAAAGGACCCUCACAUCUGUCCAGAAUAAAUCCUGAAGACCCAUCAAACAUUCCCUUCUGGAUCAGACGACCCAUCAAAUCCCAUUCUGGAUCAGAAGACCCACCACAUCCUCCUUUCUGAAUCAGAAGACCCAUCACAUCCUCCUUUUUGGAUCAGAAGACCCAUCACAUCCUCCCUUCAGGAUCAGAAGACCCAUCACAUCCUCCCUUUUGGAACAGAAGACCCAUCAGCGUCUCUCUUCUGGAGCAGGUGCCAUCAUGUCAAAGGUGAAACCAAAUGUGAGCUUGCUGUGGGCUAUGACGUGCUGAAGAAACAAGAGGUCCGCUACUACUUGGACUUCAACACUUAGAGAC
rnacentral:lncRNA from 1 species